rnacentral:rRNA from 1 species
CUUGGUCAUUUAGAGGAAGUAAAAGUCGUAACAAGGUCUCCGUAGGUGAACCUGCGGAGGGAUCAUUACCGAAUGGUCUUAAAACCUUUAAACUCGUGGAUUUAAAUCCGUGUUUUGGCGCUUAAAGCGCCAAUUUUAUGCUAAAAAUCAGUUUGCAAGUCCGAUUUUAUACGAAAUUGAAAACUUUCAACAAAGGAUCUCUUGGCUCUUGCAUCGAUGAAGAACGCAGCGAAGCGCGAAAUGUAUUGUGAAUCGCAGAACAUUGUGAAUCAUCGAAUCUUUGAACGCACAUUGCGCCUUCUGUUACAAGAAGGCAUGCCUGUCUGAGCGUCGUUUAAAUCAAAUAAGCUAUAAGGCUUGUUCUGGGCUUCGCCGGUUGGCGUCGCCUUAAAAUGAUCGGUCUUUUUAUGAGCGGACGAGUUCCAUUAGGACGGACCGUUUCUUUUGACCUUAAAUUACUGACUUUUGGCCUCAGAUCAGGUAGGACUACCGCCUGAACUUAAGCAUAUCAAUAAGCGGAGGA